AUUCAAUCCCAACUCCUCUUGGCCAGAAGCCCACAUCAACUAAUAAAAAAGAAUUGCUAAUUGCAGAGUGCACUUGCCCAGCUGAGGCAUUGGAGCAGGGCAUUUUGAUAGCGGCUGGAGGGCAGGCAGCUCAACCUCUAAACCCCCCUGGUCUGGGCACCAAGUCCUGUCCUGGGCACGGAGCACCAUCCUCCAGUAAGACCAAACCCAGCUUCUCUACAGCACCAGGAAGAAGGCAAGUUGGGCCAUUAGGGCGUGGCCCAGGAAGGAAAAUCCUCCACCGUCCUGUUGACAGAUGUGGUAUCAAAUGAAUUGUUCUCUGCUUAGACACGACUUUGAUAUUUAUUGGUUCAAAUUGCUCGGCUGACUCAGUCCUGCGGAACCCAGCUGGCACAAUGUGUGAAUCAAUGCAUGAAGGAGGGAGUGAGCAGCUAACCAAAUGAAGGAACACUCAAAUAUCUGGGAUACGGUUCCCCUCCAGGUCUGCACAGCGUCUGCUGAAGUCUCCACUAGAAUCUCAACGGAAGGUCCCCACCAGAAACUGAAAGUCUCCUCAAGUGGCUUUGAGUUGCGGUUUCACCCUCCCUGCAGAUCCACAGGGGAGGCUGGGGCAGAUGAAAAAUACCAACCCAAGGGUCCGUGGCCACACCAGGCUGCUCCUUUAAGGCCUCUCAGAAUUUCACUGCCCGAUAUGGUAGCAACCAGCCUGAAACGUGGCUGUACAUGUACCAGACUUCCAAGAGUUGGACACAAAACAUUUUCCAUCCAGCUGUUUGGUAUUGGAUACUGCUGCCUCUGCUUGACGUGAGAGUGUGUGAAGAAAGCUGCGUUUAGACAACUGAAAACCAUGAGCUUGAAAGUAGUGGGGGCACCCUCUUGGAGACUCCAGUUGCUCACCAGCUUGGACAAACCACUGGAUUCAAAUGAUCAGGCAGAAAUAAUCACCGGAGAGAACACAGUGGAAUGGCUUCAGUCAAAACUCACUGCUGAAGGUCUUCAGGGCAACUUUAAGACUUGCCCCUGACUGGGCAUGGUGGUUAACGACUGUAAUCCCAGCAUUUGCAAGCCUGAGGCGGGUGGAUCACCUGAGGUCAGGAGUUCAAGACCAGUCUGGUUAACAUGGCGAAACCCUGUCUCUACUAAAAAUCCAAAAAAUUAGCCGGCAUGGUAGUGGGUACCUGUAAUUCCAGCAACUUGGGAGGCUGAGGCAGGAGAAUUGCCUGAACCUGGGAGGCAGAGGUUGCAGUGAGCUGAGAUCGCACCACUGCACUCCAGCCUGGACAACAAGAGCAAAACUCCAUCUCAAAAAGAAAAAAGAAAAAAAAAAAAAAAAAGACUUGCCCUGGCUUUUUGUGUGAUGAACUUUCUAUUUACAGACGUGAUAUUUAUCUAUGACUUUACUCAGAGUCUGGCUCGUAGACCAGAAGGAUUGGUAUCUCCUGGAGCUUGCAGGAAAUGCAAAAUCUCAAACCCCUGUAUUAGGGUUCUCCAGAGAAGUAGAACUAAUGGGAUAGAGACAGGGAUAGGGAUGACAGAGAUGGAGAUGAGAUGGAGAUAGAAAUAGAGAUCCAUUGAUUCCUUUGUCAAAAAAAAUGGCUCAUGCAAUUGUGACCAUUUCAAAAUCUGCAAGGCAUGUCAGCAAGCUGGAGAUCCAGGGAAGAGUUGAUGUUGCAGCUUGAGUACAAAGGCGGUGUGUCUGAGGCCAUAAUGUCUUCUUCUUAGGAGGACUUCAGUCUUUUCUCUUCCGGCCUUCAGCUGCUUGGGUGAGGCCCAUCCGCACUAUAGAAGAUAAUAGUCUGUUCUACUCAGAGUCUACUGAUUUAAAUGCUAAUCUUAUCCCCAAAAAAUACCCUCACAGAAACAUCUAGCCUGGCAUUUGACCAAACAGCUGGGUACCAUGCCCCCCUGCCAAGCUGACACACAAAAUUGACCAUCAUACCCUCCCACCCGCAAUCUUACUGAAUGAGAGAGAAUCUGGGCUUUAACAAGAUCCCCAGAAGAGGUAUAAGCGCAGGGAGUCUGAGAAGUACCACCUUGGAGGUUUAGCCAGAUGUCCUAGAUGAGCCUUCUCUGAAUAUGUCAGAUUCCUUCCCUGGCCCCCUAGACACCUUUCCCACUUCCCAAAGUUGGAAGCAACAUCGUGGAGAAGCAGGCAGUGAGGCGCUCAGCUUACCACAUUGUGAGAUACACAGUCCGAUCUGUGUACCAUGAUUUGACCCAAGGGAAAACAAAAGACCCAGAAACAUAAGGACUUUUUUGUGAGCUCUCAAAAACUUCCUGCAACAAGAUCAGGUCCUUGAUGCAAGAGCCACACUUGUUUCUUUUUCCUCUUUAUCCUCCACCCCUGACAAAUGCCUAGCACAUAAAAAAAAACUAAUAAACACCACUGAAUCCAUUAUCCAAACUUCAGUUUCCCACUUAUAAUAUGUAGAUACUUACCUGGUUGUGGUGGGAAAGAAACCAGGCAUGAGAAACACUUAAAAGCCCAGGACCCUGAGCUGGGCACACAGUAGGUACUCAGGAAGUCAUUACCAAGUGCUCAGUGCAUGCUUGUUGAAUGAGUAAAUGAGGUCAGGCUUCAGCAUGCAAACACUUACUAUAAAGCAGGAACCCUGUGCCCCGAGUGCAC
ensembl:lncRNA